GACGAACCGUGCGAACGUUAUUCGGAAUCACUGGGCUUAAAGCGCGUGUAGGCGGGUCGGCACGUCGGUCGCUGAAAUCCCCCGGCUCAACCGGGGAAGGGGCGCCGAUACGGCCGGCCUCGAGGGGAGUAGGGGGACCUGGAACUUCCGGUGGAGCGGUGAAAUGCGUUGAGAUCGGAAGGAACGCCCGUGGCGAAAGCGAGGUCCUGGGCUCUUACUGACGCUGAGACGGCGAAAAGCUAGGGGAGCAAACGGG
rnacentral:rRNA from 1 species